UGCUAAUUCUGCCAGACAGAUCUUGCUUGAAAAUGUAAAAUGGUCAUAAAGAACUUAUCUCUUCCUCAGGCUACAUCUGAUUUGAAGGACACCAUUCUAGCUCACCUUCACUAUGCUAUUUGCUCUGUCGUGGACAUCCUGGACAAAGUCUUAGGACUGUCUGCUGAAAAUAAUGAGCAGUCCAAGAACAGCCUGAAGAUCAAGACAGAGAAUGCAAAGAGCAGUCAAGCAAACUGGGUGGCUAAAACCUGUGCAGCUGACAAGCUGGAGAAGGUUGUGGAUUGGAAAACGGAGCCCAAUUCAGUCCACAAGUCUCCAGCGGGAUGUGUAUCAGAAAAGAUGACUCCUUCCAGUGUCCUUGCAAACAUCAGAUCUUUAGUUGCUGCUGUUUCCCAGAUUGCUUUCAGACAGACAUCCCAAGCCAUCCAGGUUACCAAGGACACAGGACUGAAACUGGCUAUGUGGAUCUCGUAUUUGUUCAGCUUCCCAAGGGUUUUGCUGAAAGAAGAGGAAACAAUGGGGAUGAGUUCUCCAGAAUCUUGCCAAGAAGAUGAUGGCGUCCAGUUUGUUACUCCUGAGAGCAAGAAGCUGCAAGAAAGACGGUCUAGUCGGGGACAUUAUCCUCUUCCCUUCCUCAAUCUCGAUGAGCCCCUCACCCCUCCUCAAAGCCCACCCUUGGAAACUGAAUCUGCUGUGGCCAAGAAAUCUGCUUUUUCCAGCAGCAGGAGAUGGAGUGAAGGGUUGUUCCGGACCAGUCUGGAAACCACCUAUAUGAGGGCGCACUUCGCAAGACUGUAUAGCUCUGCUGUCAAGAAAGACUAAGCCAGUGAGUGGGUUUGCUCAUUAUGCUAAACUAGGAUUUGUUAAGUCUGAAUUGCUAUCCCAAGUGUGAUUUUCCAAAAGGCGACUGGAUUUCCUUUGUUUUUUCUCCCUUUGAAAACAUUUAGCUUCUCAUCCAAGAAAUGUCAGGUUUCCAAGGGAUGAAAUCUAUUUAAAAAGAAAAGAAUGAAGUCCGUCUUCCAAACAAUCUCUUUUAUUUAGGAAAGCAUCAAAUUGGCCAAGUCUGUUGUAAUUCCAGAUCUGACACAACCCAGAAUUACACCACAUAAUAUUGGAAAUUAGAAACAGCCCCCAAGAGUCACAUUCCCUAAUAGAAGUAAAUCAACAUUGCUUGGUGUCAUCAAUCUUCACCUCCAGGUCUCAGCAAGGUCAGUUUCUGUUCCCAUGGGAAGGAAACAUCACCUAACCUAAACAAACUUCACUCCACUCCUCCCACCUUAGGAAUGUAGCUUUUUCUCUGGUAAUAUUACACUACUAACUAGAGCAUACAAAACAUUUGCUAGACCAAUACUUGAAUACAGCUCAUCAGUCUGGAACCCACAUUACAUAUCUGAUAUUAACACAGUUGAGAAAGUCCAGAAAUAUUUCACAAGAAUAGUUCUCCACUCCUCUACUCAUUGCAGAAAACCUUAUGCCACCAGACUUGAAAUUCUAGACCUAGAAAACCUAGAAUUACGCUGCCUUCGUUCCGAUCUAAGUAUAGUAUAUAAAAUCAUACAUUGCAAUGUCCUACCUGUCAAUGAAUACUUCAGUUUCAACCAUAACAAUACAAGAGCACACAAUAGAUACAAACUCAAGGUUAAUUGCACCAAACUUGAUUGCAGAAAAUAUGACUUCAGCAACAGAGUAGUCAAUGUCUGGAAUACUCUACCUGACUCUGUGGUUUCUUCCCCAAACCCCAAAAACUUUAACCUUAGACUGUCUACUAUUGACCUCACCCCUUUCCUAAGAUGUCUGUAGGGGGCGUGCAUAAGCGCACCAACACGCCUACUGUCCCUGUCCUAUUGUUUCUUUUAUUUUCUUAUAUGUAUCCAUUUCAUGUAUUCAUAACUAUGUUUAUACUUAUACCUAUUAUCUUGUAAGCAAUUGACAAAUCAAAUCAAAUAAAUAAAAAUAAAUAAAAUAAGCCCCCCCUCCAACCAGCAAAAAGAAAGAAAGAAAAGGAAUAUAUAAUAGGGCUAAAUAAAAUGGCUACACUUAUGUCAAUUUUGGGCUUGACAAGAAGCUUCUUCCCUUCUUGGAUGAGAAGCGAAACAUUUCCAAAGGAAACAAACCCAAGAAAGUCCACUUGCCUUUUGGAAAAGCAUAUCUGAGACAACCAUGACCUGGAUGAUUGAGAAUCUCUGUAGACACUUAUGAGUUGCUAUAUAUGUCACUGUUAGAUGACUUCACACAACAGGUUAAACACACAGUUUAGCAACUCCAAAGUUGCUGAAAUCUUAUAUCACACUUAGCUAUGGCAAAGAUUGCAAAAUCACAAUUGAUACACUAAGCCAUGAAUCAUGGCUUGACAAAACUCUAGGGCUGGAUUCACUGCAAUUCACAAAACCACAUUCUGGCUUUGGGCUAUGAGAAUGAAGCAACUGACAACCCAGCUCUUGUGCUUAAUUUUACUGUUUAUGUUAACUUAGCUGAAAUCUCCCUUGUGACCUUCGUGACCCAGUAAUUACAUCUGCUGUUGUAAUGAUAGCUUUAUUAGCACAGCUUUAACAAUUCUCCAAUAAAAUGACCAUCUUUU
ensembl:lncRNA